GGAGAGGUGGCCGAGUGGCCGAAGGCGCGGCACUGGAAAUGCCGUAUACCACACCUUGGUAUCGUGGGUUCAAAUCCCACCCUCUCCGCCA
rnacentral:tRNA from 1 species